rnacentral:piRNA from 1 species
UUAAAGACAUCUAUUUGUACUACACCACAC